rnacentral:rRNA from 1 species
GACGAACGCUGGCGGCGUGCUUAACACAUGCAAGUCGAACGGAAAGGCCCUGCUUUUGUGGGGUGCUCGAGUGGCGAACGGGUGAGUAACACGUGAGUAACCUGCCCUUGACUUUGGGAUAACUUCAGGAAACUGGGGCUAAUACCGGAUAGGAGCUCCUGCUGCAUGGUGGGGGUUGGAAAGUUUCGGCGGUUGGGGAUGGACUCGCGGCUUAUCAGCUUGUUGGUGGGGUAGUGGCUUACCAAGGCUUUGACGGGUAGCCGGCCUGAGAGGGUGACCGGCCAAAGUGGGGAGGAAAUACGGCCCAGCCCCCUACGGGGGGCAAGGGGGGGGAAUAUUGCACAAGGGGCGGAAGCCUGAGGCAGCAACGCCGGGGGCGGGAUGGCGGCCUUCGGGUUGUAACCCGUUUUCCCCUGUGACGAAGCGGGAGUGCGGGUAAUGGGUAAAGAAGCACCGGCUAACUACGU